UACAGAGGUCUCAAGCGUUGUCCGGAAUCAUUGGGCGUAAAGAGCGUGUAGGCGGCCAGAUAAGUCCGCUGUGAAAACUCGAGGCUCAACUUCGAGCUGUCGGUGGAAACUUUCUGGCUAGAGUCCGGAAGAGGAGAAUGGAAUUCCUGGUGUAGCGGUGAAAUGCGCAGAUAUCAGGAAGAACACCAAUGGCGAAGGCAGCUCUCUGGGACGGUACUGACGCUGAGACGCGAAAGCGUGGGGAGCGAACAGG
rnacentral:rRNA from 1 species